UACGUAGGGGGCAAGCGUUGUCCGGAAUUAUUGGGCGUAAAGCGCGCGCAGGCGGUCAUUUAAGUCUGGUGUUUAAGCCCGGGGCUCAACCCCGGUUCGCAUCGGAAACUGGAUGACUUGAGUGUAGGAGAGGAAAGUGGAAUUCCACGUGUAGCGGUGAAAUGCGUAGAGAUGUGGAGGAACACCAGUGGCGAAGGCGACUUUCUGGCCUAUAACUGACGCUGAGGCGCGAAAGCCAGGGGAGCAAACGGG
rnacentral:rRNA from 1 species